rnacentral:rRNA from 1 species
GGCGGACGGGUGAGUAAUGCAUAGGAAUCUGCCCAGUAGCGGGGGACAACUUAGGGAAACUUAAGCUAAUACCGCAUACGCCCUACGGGGGAAAGCAGGGGAUCUUCGGACCUUGCACUAUUGGAUGAGCCUAUGUCUGAUUCGCUUGUUGGUGGGGUAAUGGCCUACCAAGGCAACGAUCAGUAGCUGGUCUGAGAGGACGAUCAGCCACACUGGGACUGAGACACGGCCCAGACUCCUACGGGAGGCAGCAGUGGGGAAUAUUGGACAAUGGGGGCAACCCUGAUCCAGCAAUGCCGCGUGUGUGAAGAAGGCCUGCGGGUUGUAAAGCACUUUCAGUAGAGAAGAAACACUUGAUGGUUAAUACCCAUCAGGCUUGACUUAACCUACAGAAGAAGCACCGGCUAACUCCGUGCCAGCAGCCGCGGUAAUACGGAGGGUGCGAGCGUUAAUCGGAAUUACUGGGCGUAAAGGGCGCGUA